rnacentral:rRNA from 1 species
UACGGAGGGGACUAGCGUUGUUUCGGAAUUACUGGGCGUAAAGCGCACGUAGGCGGAUUUGUAAGUCAGGGGUGAAAUCCCGGGGCUCAACCUCGGAACUGCCUUUGAUACUGCAAAUCUCGAGUCCGGAAGAGGUGAGUGGAACUGCGAGUGUAGAGGUGAAAUGCGUAGAUAUUGGGAGGAACACCAAUGGCGAAGGCAGCUCGCUGGGACGUGACUGACGCUGAGACGCGAAAG